rnacentral:rRNA from 1 species
UACAGAGGGUGCAAGCGUUAAUCGGAAUUACUGGGCGUAAAGCGUGCGCAGGCGGUUUUGUAAGCCAGAUGUGAAAUCCCCGGGCUUAACCUGGGAAUGGCAUUUGGGACUGCAAGGCUUGAGUGCGGCAGAGGAGACUGGAAUUCCAGGUGUAGCGGUGAAAUGCGUAGAUAUCUGGAGGAACACCGGUGGCGAAGGCGGCAUCCUGGACCGGCAUUGACGCUGAGGCGCGAAAGCCAGGGGAGCAAACGGG